GCACACCCUCAUGCCGCGCGGCGAACGUUCGUUGCCAGGUGCGGCAGCCCGCCCUGGGCGCCUCCUGCCUGCGGAAGAAGAGCAGGACAGACCCGACCCGACCCGCCUAGUCCUUUCCUUCACAGCAGCCUCCAAACUCCACCGCUCGCCUCUUCCGCCAGGCUCCUAGGAUGAGGCCCAGGGCUCCUGGAGCAGCCAGGUGCAAACCAGACCGGGCUCGCACUCCACUGCGUUGCCCUGGGCGAUCGUCCACGUUCUGGGAGACUCGGUAUGCCCCGGGAGGGUGGCCUGAGCUUGUGGUGUGAAGCCAGGUACAGAGCUCCAGAAUCCUGGCCUUGCCAUGGCUGUGUGACCCUGGGCAAGUGACUCAAUUUCUCUGCCUCAGUGUCCUCAUCUAUAAAAUGGAAAGGAAAAUAGUAGCGCUUGUCUCCUCCGGCUGUUAUGAAGAUCCAAGGUUAACAGCGUAGAGAACUCGGAACGCACCCGGCAUCUAGGAAGUGCCAAGCCAGUGUCAGCUAAUGUGACUAUUUUUAAAUGGAGAUGGGGAGUGUGCCAUUAUUCUUGUCCUUAUUUGAAUGAACGGGCCCUCAGGGACCAUUUUCCACUGCCCCGCCCUGGCAGCAUGAGAGGGAAACGCUGUGAGAACCCCGAACCCCAGCCUUCUCCUGUCCCUCUCUCUCUCUCUCUCUCUCUGCACCUGGGAGGCGGGGAGGAGAGAGCCGAUCCUUCCACCAUUUACACGGAGAAUGAAAGAAGAAAUACCGGCCAGGCGCGGUGGCUCAUGCCUGUAAUCCCAGCACUUUGGGAGGCCGAGGGGGCAGAUCACCUGAGGUCAGGAGUUCGAGACCAGCCUGGCCAACAUGGCGAAACUCCGUCUCUACUAAAAGUACAAAAAUUAGCCUGGCGUGGUGCCGGGUGCCUAUAAUCCCAGCUACUCAGGAGGCUGAGGCAGGAGAAUCCCUUGAACCCGGGAGGCGGAGGUUGCAGUGAGCCGAGAUCACGCCACUGCACUCCAGCCUGGGUGACAAGAAUGAGUCUCAAAAAAACAAAAAAGAAGAAGAAGAAGAAAUACCACACAGGUCCGACCAAGAGCUGCCCCCACUCAGGCCAGGAUCCCUGCCUGGAAGGGCUCUGCAGCCACUCUCCCUGUACAGCCCCAGGAUGCUAAGGAGCAUCCCGAAGUGACACUGGCUCUCCCUGGAGGCCCCUGCCAUCGGACUCCAACCUGACCUUCCAGUGGGUGCUCCUCAUACUGGCUCCAGCCAAGACAGACGAGGACCACUGGGCACAUGCCCUUCCUUGCCUUCCUGUCACCCUUCCCACCCUUCUCUGCGGGCCCCGGGUGGCCCCUUCCUCCAGGAAGCACCUGGGGAUCAGCAGUGCCUCUAGGGUCCCAGUGGCCCACGUGACAUCUGCUUCUGGCCACCUGAGCACUCUCCUUUGAGUUCAGGGUCACUGUACCCUUUUAUAGGUGAGCAAACGAAAGCUGAGGAAGAGGAGUGACUGGGUCUCCCACAUCCCUCUGCUUCAGCUAUGAGGUUCCCUCAUGAACUGCAGGAAUAGACGUCAAGCAAAAACUCCUCAGACGCCCUGUGCAUGUGUGGUCGCACAGGGCACAAAGACUGAAGCAAAGGGGCAGGUCCUAGCGUGGGGAGGGGACUCCAGGAUUGAAGUUUGAACCAAAAGGAGGCUUUGACUAAGCCACGAGCAGUGAAGCCGGCAGGAGAGGAAGCAAGUUCUAGCAGAGAAAUUCGCCGGGUAUGGUGGUGCAUGCCUAUGGUCCCAGCUACUCAGGAGGCUGAGGCAGGAGGAUCACUUGAGCCCGGGAGGUGAAGGCUGCGGGAAGAGUUUGUCUCGUCUAUCAGGCCACCAACAAGAGUUGUUGCAAUGCCUGUGGGAGGUGCAGCCCACGCUGGGCCACCUGGCCAGCUCAGGGAUCCUGCUGGAGAUCGAGGAUUGUCUGGUCGGCCUCUUACAACUCUCAGAACAUCAUCCCUGGGAGCAGCCCUGAAGAGACCAAGGAAUGGAAAAACAGAUGGAAGGACUGCAACUCACAGGUGAAAAGGAACCGGCUACGAGAGGCUCCAAACCAAGGGAGCAGCGGAGUUUGUCUCCAAAACACCGAGCCCAGUGAGAGAAGCCAGAGCCACAGACCAGAUGCCCUGCAGCCUCAGCUCCAGUGUCUCAUCCCCAGAGACCUUCCCAGACCACCAUGUCUCAGACAGCCCCGGCUGCCUCCUGCCUGCCCUGCACCAGCCCUGAGCCAUCGCCUCAUUUUAUUCUCAUUCUAACUUGGAUAAUGGGAUCUGCCUCUUACCAACUGUGACCUUAGGCACAGGAUCAGCCCCAAAUUGAGCCUCAUUUUGUCCAUCUGUAAAAUGAGGAUGGCACUAGAGCCCCGUCUAGGGUGAAUGUGAAGGUCAGAGCCUGCACAAGCCUUCAGGGUUUAAUGCCCUGCUGUGUCCAUGUGCUCAGCUCAUAGCCACCAUGCAUGACUUGGGACUUCUGAAUGGGACCAAGAAAUAUCUAACAUGCGAUUUCCUGGAAAGCACAUAGGAGUUUGGCCCAGAUCCAGACUUGGCAGUUGCUCAAUCAAGAAGAAGCUGCCAGGCACAGUGGCUUGUGCCUGUAACCCCAGAACUUUGAGAGGCUGAGCGGGGUGGAUCACCCAAAGUCAGGAGUUCAAGACCAGCCUGGCCAACAUGGUGAAAUGCCGUCUCUACUAAAAAUACAAAAAUUCGCUGGGUGUGGUGGUGGGUGCUUGUAAUCCUAGCUACUCAGGAGGCUGAGACAGGAGAAUCCCUUGAACCCAGAGGCAGAGGUUACAGUGAGCCGAGAUCGUGCCACUGCCCUCCAGCCUGGGCAACAAAGAGUGAAACUCUUGUCUAAAAAAAAAAAGAAGAAGAAGAAGGAGAAGGAGAAGGAGCGGGAGAAGGAGAAGAAGAAGAAGAAGAAGAAGCCUCAGUGAAGUGCUCCAGCAUCUUCACCCCCUUGGUCACUUGCUCAUCUCCUUGAUGAACAAAAGCGGCCCCAGAUCAGAGCCAUCGAGCACCUGCAGCCAGCAAGGUUGGCUGGUUUUCAUUGUGUGCAUUUUUAAGGCGUCUUCUAUUUAUAGAAAGGAUUGUGGUCUUGCAUUUGUAGCAGCGAUGAAAGCUUUACUUUUUGGCAAAAUGUGUGCAAGUUGUUUAGAAGUGAGUCUGUUUGAAAAAAAAAAUUAAAUGAAUAAUGAUUUA